AAAGCAUGAUGAGGACACUAAGUUAAAAGAUUAAUAAAUCCUUCCCAUGCCUCAGAAAACGACUCAUCAAGUUGUUGUUCAAAUUGCAUGAUUUUAUCCCUGAGGGC